ensembl:miRNA
GGGCCAACCCUGAGGGUCAGAUGAGGCCCUUGGGGCACAGCAGUGCCAUCUCCCCUGUGCUCCCAGGGCCUCUCCUGUCCCUCGAGGUCGGCCC